rnacentral:lncRNA from 1 species
UUCUCCUUCAUGCAUCCUGCCAAUUUAUCUUCCCUACCAAUUGCUUGAGGCUUUGUGACUCUUACCUGUGUGGUAUCCAUCCUAAGUGUGUGGUAGAAUCAACAAGCAAAAGAGCAAAUAGCAACCAUAGGAAGAAUUGGCGCCGGCGGUCGGUCAUCUCGUUUUUGGUGUUGAAUUCGAUGUUUAAUGGUUAACUGAGUUCGGAAAUCACUUUGAGCAGCUUG